AGUUAGAUGACCAGAAAGUAGCAUGGACAAUCUGGAAGAAAAUCCAAUUGGAAUCUAGCGUUCUUGAUUCAGUAAUUUUAGCCUAACGCAUUUCAGUCUACUAUAUUGCUAUUUGACGUUUCGAUUUAUGUGCACUCUGUGAUCACUCUGUAGUUCUUGUAACAUGUUAUUUUAUUGCCAUCUGAAAUGGUACACAACAAGCAGAUAUAGUUCGUUGCCUCCGAAACUGGUUUGUUUUUCUUUUCAGAAAAGUGCCAUGCGUGUGACAGUUUUAUCACACUCACCGCAUUUACUCUUUUUCACCAGGGAGAAAGAAUUGGCUGUUGUGAAGAUCAACCCUGUGGAUGUCGAAAUUAUCGCUAGUGAGCUUGAGCUGGACAAGAAGAUCGCGGAGAGAGCGCUCUGUGAGCACAAGGGUGAUGUCGUGGCUGCGGUUCGAUUCCUGCUGCGCUAGUUCCGAGAUUUCGUCGCCAGCAUCAUAUGUUUUUACACAAGAGGUGAUGAUGUGAAGCACUAGUACUUUUGUGUGCCUGUUUUGGAAGUUUGCUAUUGGAACUAUGUUGCAGAAAAUUAAGAAUGAGAAUACCAU